rnacentral:rRNA from 1 species
AUGUAUAAGCAGUUAGAAGAUCUGCAGGGUCAAUUAAAAGACGACAACUAUAUUUUCACAUCAAAACCAUAUACAAUUCUUAGCGAUCAGUUAUAUCAUCUGAAUGCUGAGAUACAAAGAUACAAGGGUUUGGUUGAUGUAUUACAGAAUGAUAAGAACCAGUUCUUGCAAAGGGAGAAAGAAAUGUGUGCAAAAGGAGAAUCCGUCGACAAUAUUAAACAAUCCAUUACCUCUUAUGAGGCCAAAAUCGAAGAACUGGAACAUAAGAUUCUGAAAUCCAUGGCUGAGAAGAAUGAUCUUGAGAUCAAAGUUGAGGAAUCAUUGCAAGAUUCGGGUAAAAAAGACUUCAAGGAUGAGAUUCAUGUCAUGGCUGCAUCACUCUCUAAAGAGAUGGAAAUGAUGGAGAAUCAAUUGAAUAGAUCAAAGGAUGCGGCUUCUGAAGCACUUGCAUUACGUGAAGAAGCUGACUCGUUAAGAACCUUGUUAGCUAAGAAGAUCAGUGAACAGAAGGAAAUAUCUGAUAGAUACAACACACAAGUCUCUGAGAUAAAGUCCCUCAAAGAAUUGAUUGAGACAUUAGAAAAGGAAAAUCAGGAGUUGGAAUUUAUUGUGGAUAUGUAUGGGAAAGAAUGUUCUGAGUCGAGGACAAUUACAGAGAUCAAGGAAUCAGAAAAUCGAGCUCGCAAGCAGGUUGAAUAUUUGAGAACUAGUCUAGAGGAGUAUAGUCUUGAGCUUUGCGUAAAAGGAGCAAAUGAAGCCGAAACUGCAUGCCAGCGAAGGCUUUGCAUUGCUGAAGCAGAACUGGAAGAGUUAAGGACCGAUGUAGAUGCAUCUGAAAGAGAUGUUCUGGGACUCAAGGAGGCAAUAAGAAUUAAAGAAACGGAAGGAGAUGCUUAUAUCUCUGAAAUUGAGACAAUUGGUCAAGCAUAUGAAGACAUGCAGACACAAAACCAGCAUCUUCUUCAACAGGUUGCCGACAGAGAUGAUUUUAACAUAAAGCUAGUAUCAGAUAAUGUGAAGACAAAGCAAGCCUCUGCUUCCCUUCUCUCUGAAAAGCAUUUGUUACAGAAGCAACUCCAUCAGGUGAACAGUUCACCGGAGUCAUCUAAACAAAAACUCUCCCGUGGUGAAGAGCAGAUGAAAGCCUAUGUCGCACAAGCUAUAAAAACUUCUUCAGAGAACAGGCAUAUGCAACUAUCAUUGAAAAGACUGCUGGAGGUAUCUGACACAGAGAAGGAGCUCAAGUGGCUUCGGUCCGCCGUUGGAUCCUCUGAGAAAGAAUAUGAGCAAAACCAGAAAAAAAUAGCUGAGCUGAGAACGGAGCUGGAGCGUGAGAGAAGCGAGAAGAGAAAGCUUGAGGAAGCAUACGAGGAGGUGAAGAAUGAAGUCAUGGAGCUGACAUCUGAGAAUGAAGAGGCUACUAUCCAGAAGCUCCAGGACGAGAUAAAAGACUCCAAGGCUAUUCUCAAGUGUGGCGUGUGCUUUGACCGGCCGAAAGAGGUUGUGAUCACCAAAUGCUUCCAUCUGUUCUGCUCGACAUGUAUCCAGAGGAACCUCGAGCUACGGCACCGGAAGUGCCCGGGCUGCGGCACCCCUUCUGGGCAAAACGAUGUGCGAGAGGUGAAGAUCUGA